rnacentral:rRNA from 1 species
GUGUACACAAGAUAGAGCCUUUAUCAAGUCUUCAUAAACUUUACAUUUAAAUCCACCUUCAAAAGUUAUUUCAAAAACUUUAUUCGUAAUUACUCUUUUAAUUGUAACCCACCUCUAUCUUUUACAUUAGCUGCACCUUUACUUGAAGUCUUUGAUUAUAUCAUGAAAGAAAGAUUUCUAAAAAAACUAACUGACAACAGCGGUAUACAAACUAAAUUUCAAGCAAAAGUAAGGAUUUCGUGGUCCAUCGUUUAUAGGGCAGGUUCCUCUAAAUGGCUAUCUUGCCGCCAAAUCCGUUAAAUUUCAUUAUAAUUACUAAUCCAAAAUCUUUUACUUAUGAGUA